UGAGGAAUAUUGGUCAAUGGCCGGAAGGCUGAACCAGCCAAGUCGCGUGAGGGAAUAAGGCCCUACGGGUCGUAAACCUCUUUUGUCGGGGAGCAAUGGGUGACUUGCGAGUCAUCAGGGAGAGUACCCGAAGAAAAGCAUCGGCUAACUCCGUGCC
rnacentral:rRNA from 1 species